GCCUUCGUGGUGUAAUAGUCAGCCAACUGAGCCGGUAUUUCAGAGGUCCGUGGUUCGAUUCCCGGCGAAGGAA
rnacentral:tRNA from 1 species